rnacentral:lncRNA from 1 species
GUGCUCUUAGCUGACCUUAUUGCUUCGGCUUAUAUGAACGGUGCUUUCAUUUCCUUCAAGAAACAAAGGCUCCACUGGCUACUAACAAAAUAACCGUCCUUCCUCAGCCUGCUUUUCUCUGUCAAUAUUGCCUCUGUCCAAAUCUGGAUAGACUCCAAACCUACGACUUGUGCUAACAACCUCAAGAGAUGGGUCUCUUGCUGUAGCAACGAGAGUGGGAGCAUUUGGAGCAUGACCUCGGAAUGAGGAUCUACAAGUUGUAAGAAAAUGGCAGACAAAACGGACAUGGGGAAAUCGCCAGCUUCAAUAAGGCCAAGCUGAAGAAAACCGAGACACAGGAGAACACCCUGCCUACCAAAGAGACCAUUGAAUAGGAAAAGAGUGAAAUCUCUUAAAAGCCUGUGAAGAUUCCCCCACCCCACCCCUUCAUCUCCAAGACCCUCUCGUGAUGUGGAGGAAGAGCCACCUGCAAGAUGGACGCAAGCCACAAGCUCCACUGUGAACCUGGGCACUCCGCACCGAUGCCACCGGCCCAUGGGUCUCUGAAGGGGACCCCUCCACUAAUCCGACUGCCAAAUUUCACCAGUUUGCCCUAGGAUAUUAUAGAAAAUUAUUUGUAUGAUUGAUGAAAAUAAAACAUACCUGGUGCAAAAAAGAAAGAAAAAUACCUUCAGAAAGAAAUUAGCAAAUGUUAGAAAUUGUCAAGAUAAUUUGAACCCCAUUAAAAUUUACCCAAAUUGCCAA